GUGCCAGCAGCCGCGGUAAUACCGGCAGCCCGAGUGAUGGCCGAUCUUAUUGGGCCUAAAGCGUCCGUAGCUGGCCGCGCAAGUCCAUCGGGAAAUCCACACGCUCAACGGGUGGCCGUCCGGUGGAAACUGCACGGCUUGGGACCGGAAGGCGCGAAGGGUACGUCCGGGGUAGGAGUGAAAUCCCGUAAUCCUGGACGGACCGCCGAUGGCGAAAGCACGUCGCGAGAACGGAUCCGACAGUGAGGGACGAAAGCUAGGGUCGCGAACCGGAUUAGAUACCCCAGUAGUCC
rnacentral:rRNA from 1 species